AUAGUAUCAAUACAGCGCCCAAC
rnacentral:piRNA from 1 species